rnacentral:lncRNA from 1 species
CGGCUCCGUUAGACUUGAUCUAAAGUAUUUGAAGUAUUUAGAAAAUAAAUUUUCUGAUUUUUUGAUAUCAUUUGCCUAGUGAUCGAAAAGGCUCAAAAUCAACGGCUGAAAACAAAAAUCUUACAACAUAUGAUGAUAUGACAUUAAAAAUUUAGAUCAAAGUUAUUGAUCUUGUUUUAUAUAUGGUAAAGAAUUUCUAUCAAAAUUUCACGUGAUUUGGAUAUUUCUACACCGUUAAACUUGCAAAUGACCCACCACGGCCAUUAAAAUUAUUGAUUUUGAGCCCCUUCGAUCACUAGGCAAAUGAUAUCGAAAAAUCACAAAAUUUAUUUUCUGGGUAUUUCAAAUACUCUAGAUUAUUAACUCUGACGGAACCGACCGUCGAUUCGAAAGUCCCAACAUCGAAAACGACUUGAAAGCAUGAAAGGCUUCGUGCUUCCAGAAGC